rnacentral:lncRNA from 1 species
ACAACAACCACUACGACCACUACAACAACAACCACGACAACAACUACGACCACGACAACAACAACCAGUACGACCAUAACUACGUCCCCUACAACAACGACGUUGCAGCCGAAAGAACAGAAAAUAAAAUCAGCUCAAACUACUAAUACAAUAACAUCUACGGCGGCAGCGCCAUUACAAAAAGGAAGACGCUGAUACACAUCAACAGCUAUUACAUUCAGGAGGAUCACCUACAUUACUAUUAUGUUUUAACACUUGUAACACCAUUAUUCCUUGAAGUCGAAUAUAAUUCAUAAAAAUUCAAUAAACAUAAUAAUCAUC